rnacentral:lncRNA from 1 species
CUAAAACCCAGAUCCACAGCGUUAGUGUGUGCAAAACGAGUAAAGAGCAGCACAUUGGCAGGUGCGCACACGUGACGUUGGAAUUCCAUUUCGGAAGCCAAUCUCACUUUCCUUUUGCAUUCUGUUAGAAUGUUCUGUGUCUGAAUUCCCCUUGGAAUUUGGAUAGAUUUAAAAGUGAUAGGAAUAAGUAGCUGGUGUUUCUAGCCUCCGCCUCCAGGCGGGUGAGGAGGUGACACCUGAG